rnacentral:rRNA from 1 species
GUUGAUCCUGCUGGAGGGUACUGCUAUCAGAAUCAGGCUAAACCAUGCAUGUCUACUUCUAGACUUCUGGGAGUGGCGAAGGGCUGAGUAACACGUAGUCAACCUACCCUAUAGACGCAAAUAACCUUUGGGAAACUGAGGAUAAUGUGCGAUAGAUGAUUUAUGUUGGAAUACUUAAUCAUCCAAAAGGCUUGUGAAUUGGAACAAGACCGCUAUAGGACGGGACUGCGGGGGAUUAGGUAGUUGGGGUGGUAAUGGCACACCAAGCCGAUAAUCUCUAGGGGCUAUGAGAGUAGUGGCCCCCAGAAGGGCACUGAGACAAGGGCCCUAGUCCUACGGGAUGCAGCAGGGACGAAAACUUUACAAUGCGCGAAAGCGUGAUAAGGUGAUUCUGAGUGGCAUUGGCUUUGCUAAUGUCUUUUGCUAAGUGUAAACAACUUGGAGAAUAAGGGUGUGGGAAAGACUGGUGGCAGCCGCCGCGGUAAUACCAGCGCCUCGAGUUGUACCCGCGUAUACUGGGCCUAAAGCGUUCGUAGCCGGUUAAAUAAGUCAACUGUGAAAUCUUAAAGCUUAACUUUAAGGCGUGCAGUUGAUACUGUUAAACUAGAGAGCGGGGGAGAUAAGGAGUACACCUGGGGUAGGGGUAAAAUCCGUUGAUCCUAGGUGGACUAUCAGUGGCGAAGGCGCCUUAUCAAAACGCUUCUGACGGUGAGGAACGAAGGCUAGGGGAGCGAACGGGAUUAGAGACCCCGGUAGUCCUAGCAGUAAAUUAUGCAGACUUUGGUGUUGCUAUGGAGUAAUCCAUAGCAGUGCUGUAGCGUAGGUGUUAAGUCUGCCGCCUGGGGAGUACGGUCGCACACUGAAACUUAAAGGAAUUGGCGGGGAAGCACCACGAGCCGUGGAUGCUACGGUUUAAUUGGAUACAACGCCGUGAAUAUCACCAAGGCUGACAGCAGAAUGAAGGUCAGACUAAAGAUCUUGCCUGACGCGCUGAGAAGUGUUGCAUGGCCAUCGUCAGCUCGUGGUGUGAACUGUCUGGUUAAGUCCAGAAACGAGCGAGACCCAUACUCUUAGUUGCUAUCUAUAUCUUCGGAUAUGGAGCACUUUAAGGGGACUGCCCGCGUUAAGUGGGAGGAAGGAGUGGGCAACGGUAGGUCAGUAUGGCCUGAAUGCCUUGGGCUACACGCGGCAUACAGUGGUUGGAACAAUGGGCAGCAACUCCGAAAGGAGACGCAAAACCCCUAAAUCCAAUCGUAGUUCGAAUCGAGGAUUGCAACUCAUCCUCGUGAAGCUGGAAUGGCUAGUAAUCGCGAGUCAACAUCUCGCGGUGAAUGUGUCCCUGCUUCUUGCACACACCGCCCGUCAAGUCAUCCGAGUAUUCUUUCGAUGAGGCUCUGGUCUAUGCCAGAUUCGAAUCGGGGGAGUGUGAGGAGGGCUAAGUCGUAACAAGGUA